UACGUAGGGGGCUAGCGUUGUCCGGAAUCAUUGGGCGUAAAGCGCGUGUAGGCGGUUCGGUAAGUCCGCUGUGAAAGUCGGGGGCUCAACCCUCGGAUGCCGGUGGAUACUGUCGGACUAGAGUACGGAAGAGGCGAGUGGAAUUCCUGGUGUAGCGGUGAAAUGCGCAGAUAUCAGGAGGAACACCGAUUGCGAAGGCAGCUCGCUGGGCCAUUACUGACGCUGAGGAGCGAAAGCGUGGGGAGCGAACAGG
rnacentral:rRNA from 1 species